rnacentral:rRNA from 1 species
UACGUAGGGCGCAAGCGUUAUCCGGAAUUAUUGGGCGUAAAGAGCUCGUAGGCGGUUUGUCGCGUCUGCCGUGAAAGUCCGGGGCUCAACUCCGGAUCUGCGGUGGGUACGGGCAGACUAGAGUGCGGUAGGGGAGAUUGGAAUUCCUGGUGUAGCGGUGGAAUGCGCAGGUAUCAGGAGGAACACCAAUGGCGAAGGCAGAUCUCUGGGCCGUAACUGACGCUGAGGAGCGAAAGCAUGGGGAGCGAACAGG